GACGAACGCUGGCGGCGUGCUUAACACAUGCAAGUCGAACGGUAAGGCCCUUCGGGGUACACGAGUGGCGAACGGGGGAGUAACACGUGGGUGAUCUGUCCUGCACUUCGGGAUAAGCCUGGGAAACUGGGUCUAAUACCGGAUAGGCCCAAUGCCUGCAUGGGUGGUGGUGGAGAGCUUUUGCGGUGUGGGAUGGGCCCGGAGCCUGUCAGCGUGUUGGUGGGGUGAUGGCCAAUCUAGGCGACGACGGGUAGCCGGCCUGACGGGGUGACCGGCCACGCUGGGACUGAGAAACGGCCCAGUGUCCUACGGGAGGCAGCAGUGGUGAAUAUUGCAAAAUGGGCGCAAGCCUGAUGCAGCGACGCCGCGUGAGGGAUGACGGCCAUCGGGUUGUAAACCUCUUUCAGCACCGACGAAGCGCAAGUGACGGUAGGUGCAGAACAAGGACCGGCCAACUACGUGCCAGCCGCCGCCGUAA
rnacentral:rRNA from 1 species